rnacentral:tmRNA from 1 species
GGGGUAGACAUGGCUUUGACAGCAUGAAGAAUAGGUAUGUAAGCAUGUCGGGCGCAGAGAAACCGGCCCGUUAAUCCCGGACUCAAAAUUUCAAUUGGCGAGAAUAACUACGCUCUUGCUGCCUGAUCGAAUCACAGUAGAUCGGCUUAAUCGCUGUUCAAGGAACGGCGACGGGACAUCCCGCCGGUGGUUUCACCUUAUCCCGGCCGGCAUACGGGGUGCAGUCAAUGUAAGGUUAGUCUGAGCCUGCUUCGGGCGAAAGGCGAAAAUUCAGAAGCUAAGGUGAAGUUUGGGUGCUUUUUUCCGUACUUCAUUCGAAAACCAAUAAAAAGCUAAGCAUGUAGAAAGCGUAUGGAUUCCGUGUUUGGACCAGGGUUCGAUUCCCUGCUACUCCACUA